GAUGAAGAACGUAGCGAAAUGCGAUAAGUAGUGUGAAUUGCAGCAGUACCGUGAAUCAUCGAAUCUUUGAACGCAAAUUGCACUCUCUGGUAUUCCGGGGAGUAUGCCUGUUUGAGGGUCGCUUAACAAACCAUCGAUUUCGUUGCUUUUUUUUAAAAAGUAAUGUUUAUCGGAUUUGAGCCGUCUUUUUUUUUUAUAUUUAAGUGGCUUAAAAUUGAUUUUUUUGGUAUGAUCGAAGCGUAUUUUAUGAUCAAUUUUUGGUUAAAGAAACGCAUACGCGUACCGUUAUUUGUAUGAUGUAAUACGUUUGACUAUUGGAUUUAGUUCAUUCGUAUACGAUAUUUUUCAAUAUUUGACCUCAAAUCAGGUAAGAACACCCGCUGAACUUAAGCAUAUCAAUAAGCGGAGGA
rnacentral:misc_RNA from 1 species